rnacentral:ncRNA from 1 species
UAAUAUUUUUUUUGAUCCUGGAAAUUAGUAAUAGCUGAUAAAAUAAAUUGCAUGUAUUUUUCUAAAAGGUUAUUUUGCAGUAAUGAAUUUUGAUAAAAUUAUUAAUUUUAGAAUAAGGAUUUUAUUUAAACAAGGUUAAAGAUGUGCCAGCAGCAGCGGUUAAACUUGUUAUGUUAAGUUAUUUAGUUUGGCGGUAUAAAAAUUUAAUUUAUUAAAUAUUAUUUUUAUAAUUAAAUUUUAGGUAAAAUUUUAAGUUUAUUAUUUAUAUUAUUAGGAUAUUUGAAAAAAAGUAUAUUAAAUAGGAUUAGAGACCCUAGUAUUCUUUUUGUAAAUUAAUUAUCAGGGGAAUAUUGUUUAUAAUACAUAAUAACCAAAGGAAGUUGGCGGUAGUAAAGUAAUUUUUAGGGGAUGGUUUGUUUUUUAAGUUCGAUGAUCCACGACUUUACCUUACUUUAAUUUAUGAUUUGCUCAUUUCCGUUAUAUUUUAGCUUAUCUUUUAAUAGUUAAUUGGCUUAUUAUUAAGUUUUAGUAGAAAAAUCAGGUACAUAAGUAGUUUAUAUUAAAGGAUAAGAUGGGCUACAAUUGAAAUUUUCAUUAAUGGAUAGAUUUUUGAAAUUAAAUUUUGAAAUUGAACUUAAAAGUAAAUUGAAAUUAGAUUGUUUAAUUGAAUUUUUAAUAUUUAUGUGUACAAAUCGCCCGAUGCUCCCUCUGAAAAGAGGGAUAAGUCGUAACAUAGUGGGGGUAUCAGAAGAUGUCCCUAGUGAUAA